rnacentral:rRNA from 1 species
GCAGCCUGAUGCAGCGACGCCGCGUGAGGGAUGACGGCCUUCGGGUUGUAAACCUCUUUCAGUAGGGAAGAAGCGAAAGUGACGGUACCUGCAGAAGAAGCACCGGCUAACUACGUGCCAGCAGCCGCGGUAAUACGUAGGGUGCGAGCGUUAUCCGGAAUUAUUGGGCGUAAAGAGCUCGUAGGCGGUUUGUCGCGUCUGUCGUGAAAGUCCGGGGCUUAACCCCGGAUCUGCGGUGGGUACGGGCAGACUAGAGUGCAGUAGGGGAGACUGGAAUUCCUGGUGUAGCGGUGGAAUGCGCAGAUAUCAGGAGGAACACCGAUGGCGAAGGCAGGUCUCUGGGCUGUAACUGACGCUGAGGAGCGAAAGCAUGGGGAGCGAACAGGAUUAGAUACCCUGGUAGUCCAUGCCGUAAACGUUGGGCACUAGGUGUGGGGACCAUUCCACGGUUUCCGCGCCGCAGCUAACGCAUUAAGUGCCCCGCCUGGGGAGUACGGCCGCAAGGCUAAAACUCAAAGGAAUUGACGGA